GAGAGUGGCGGCUGCGGGCCCCGCCGUGCCCCGCCCGGAAGCUGCCUCUCCGCAGGCGCUGCCCGCCUUCGACCCAGUGUUGCCGUUGCGGCGGUGAUGGAGCGUAGACCGCUGAGGUCCGCUCUGCGCCGCUGGCGGAGACGAGGCCGCGGGGACCGCAGCGCCGGGCGACCACACCCUCGGUUUGGGGGACAAGCCUGCCUUUUGCGCACUUGGACUUUUCCCCACCCUCUUCUAAGUCUUAGUGCCUCCGUACCAGAUAAAGAUUUGCCUGAGAUUCCCAAGCAUCUCAAUGCCGGUACCCACAGUUCCUACUCACAUUUGUCCAACGAAUGUGAAGAAAACAGCAACCAAAUGACAGCCACAGAAUUGCAUCAAAAUGUAAGUGACUUGCUGUUCAUUGAUAAUCUAGAAACUGGAAAACUAUGAAGUGAAAAAUAAGUUAUAUAUGAUCCUGCCACCAAGGAAUAGUCCUACUAACCCUCUGAUAUAUUUUCUUUCAGUCCCCCUUUCUCUGGCUUUUCCUUACAAAGCAGGGAUUUUUUUAAAUUAAAAAAACUUAUUUUUUAUUUUAUUUUUUGCUUUUUAGGGCCACGCCCAUGGCAUAUGGAAGUUCCCAGGCUAGGGGUCGAAUCAGAGCUACAGCAGCCGGCCUGCACCACAGCCACAGCCAUGUGGGAUCCUUAACCCACCGAGCAAGGCCAGGGAUCAAACCCGCAUCCUUAUGGAUCCUGGUUGGGUUUAUUAAGCGCUGAGCCACAAAGGGAACUCCCUGGGCUUUUUUUUUUUAGAUCUGACACUUAUAUAGGUUAUUUUGAAUCAUUUAAGAUCUAGGUAGAACAAGUGUAGGAGGAAAAAACUUGGACAAUAUUUGCAAAAGCUUACAAAUGUUUUUCUUUUUCUUUUCUUUCUUUCUUUUUUUUUACGUCCACACUUGUGGCAUAUGGAGGUUCCCAGGCUAGGGGUCAAAUCAGAGCUGCAACUGCUGACCGACACCACAGCCACAGCAACACCAGAUCCGAGCCGCAUCUGUGACCUAAACCGUAGCUUGUGGCAACGCUGGAUCCUUAAUCCACUGAGCAAGGCCAGGGGCACUAUGUUGGAUUCUUAACCCACUGAGCCACAAUGGGAAUGUCUUAAAUUUUAUUUAAAUUAAAAUAUUGUGUCAGUAUUUUAAAAAAACAGAUGUUGAAUUUGGAAAUAGAAGUACAGAAUCCCUCCCCACAACCGUACACUUUCUUGCCUUUUAAUCAGUAUAUUUCAUGGAUAGACUGAUCACAUCCUGAGGUCUAUGAAAAUACAGAAACUCGGAUCCUGUUACAGUCGGUCCUCUGUGUCUGUGGGUUCCGCCUCCAUGAAGAUUCGAAAGUAUUUGGGGUGGGGGGGAGUUCCUGUCGUGGCGCAGUGCAAACGAAUCCGACUAGGAACCAUGAGGUUGCUGGUCUGAUCCCUGGCCUCUCUCAGUGGGUUAAGGAUCCAGCGUUACUAGUGCGGCCCUGAAAAGACAAAAAGACAAAAAAAAAAAAAAAAAAAAAAAAGGGGGAGGGGGAAGGGUGGAAAUUCCAAAAGCAAAACCUUGAAUCUGCAUUGAGAACUAUUUACAAAACAUUUACAUUGUUUUGACAACUAUGUGCAUAGUAUUUGCAUUAGAUAUUCUAAGUAAUUCGGACCAUUUAAAGUGUAUGGGAAGGAGUUCCCAUCAUGGCUCAGUGGUUAAGGAAUCCCUGGCCUCGCUCAGUGGGUUAAGGAGCUGGCGUUGCUGUGGCUGUGGUGUAGGCCAGCAGCUAUAUCUCCAAUUAGACCCCUAGCCUGGGAACCCCCGCAUGCCGA
rnacentral:lncRNA from 1 species